GGAUGUGAGGGCAAUCUGGCUGCGACAUCUGUCACCCCAUUGAUGGACAGGGUUGGUUCGGCUUAUCUGGCUGGCUAGGUGAGUGUCCCCUUCCUCCCUCACCCCUCCAUGUUGAAUCCCUCUCGAUGCUGAAUGCAAGACUCUGUGCAAAGAAUGUUUCCUCCCAUAGGUAGUGUUUUUGCUAUAUUCUUG
rnacentral:snRNA from 1 species